GCUGCAGUCCCAAGAUCUCAGUGCCCUUUCAACUUGCAGAGAGACCACCAGGGAUGUGCGCACACAAAGGAGCGACCCUGCAAAGAGGCAGCUAGAUGGCAGCCACUACUACACUGACCAGAAAGACUCAGGAGCAACCAGACCUAACAAGCAUGGGAAUAACAAAUCCACAAUAAAGUGGCCAUCUAAGCAAGGAAAGAAGUGCAGGACUGGGAAAGGAAAAAGCAUAAAAACAGAUGUAAGGAGGUUGAGUAGAGAGGAGGAUAGAAGAAUAGUAAAUAAGAGAAGCCCAUUCCCUGCUGCAGCUCUCAAGAUUCGUGUAUGGCUUCCCCGAUGCCCACCUCAUGGUGUUCACACCUAUUACACCCUUUUAUGAUCCCC